rnacentral:rRNA from 1 species
UACGUAGGGUCCGAGCGUUGUCCGGAAUUACUGGGCGUAAAGAGCUCGUAGGUGGUUUGUCGCGUUGUUCGUGAAAACUCACAGCUCAACUGUGGGCGUGCGGGCGAUACGGGCAGACUUGAGUACUGCAGGGGAGACUGGAAUUCCUGGUGUAGCGGUGGAAUGCGCAGAUAUCAGGAGGAACACCGGUGGCGAAGGCGGGUCUCUGGGCCAAUACUGACGCUGAGGAGCGAAAGCGUGGGGAGCGAACAGG